rnacentral:lncRNA from 1 species
GCCUCUUGGGUUUGCGUGGUUUUUCUGCCUCAGCCUCCUGAGUAGCUAAGGGAGGUGUCUUGAGAUUAUCAUCGGCUGAGGGUGGAAGCGGCCCCCGCAGACGCUCGGCAGGUGUCUUGAUAUUAUCAUCUGCUGAGGGUGGAGCUGAGGGUGGAAAGGGAGUGAGCUGACGCUCGGAAGGUGUCUUGAGAUUAUCAUCUGCUGAGGGUGGAAGCGGCCCCCGCAGACGCUCGGCAGGUGUCUUGAGAUUAUCAUCCGCUGAGGGUGGAAGGGGAGUGAGCAGACACUCAGGAGGUGUCUUGAGAUUAUCAUCCGCUGAGGGUGGAAGGGGAGUGAGCAGACACUCGGGAGGUGUCUUGAGGCUCAGGGAGUUAUCAGUUAUAGAAUGUUGUUG